rnacentral:tRNA from 1 species
AUGUAGCUCAGCAGGAUAGAGCGACCGCCUCCUAAGCGGUAGGUCGGAGGUUCGAAUCCCCUCAUG